AACCUGCUUUUUAGGGGCUGGCUGGCACAAGACUCUUUCAUUCUACACUAUCUCCUUUCGCAGAAAGACAAAAUUAAGAUCUUUGUUUAUUGAAGUUUCGCAAAAUAGUCUGCUUUCAAACUGAACGAUGGAGCCGGUGAAGGAAGAUGAAGAAGUUUACAGCUGGAGAGAGAUGGAGUUACCAGCUUUAAAACCAGAGCUAGAGAGGGAGACGGGCGAGAGAAGGAGAGGUAGAGACGUAUUGAUAGCCAUUGAUCAUGGUCCCAACAGUAGGCAUGCUUUUGAUUGGGCCCUGAUUCACUUCUGCAGGCUUGCUGACACCAUCCAUCUUGUUCAUGCGGUGACGAAUAUGAAUAACGAGAUUGUUUAUGACGCCAGCAAGGAGCUCAUGCAGAGGCUUGCUCUGGAGGCUGCUGAAGUUGCUAUGGUGAUGACCAAGGCUCGGAUUGUGCAAGGUGAUGCAGGUAAGGUUAUUUGCAAGGAAGCUGAAAGGUUAAAGCCAGCAGCAGUUGUUAUGGGUACCCGAGGCAGAAGCUUGAUGCAAAGUGUACUGCAGGGAAGUGUGAGUGAGUAUUGCUUCCACAAUUGUAAAACUGCUCCUGUCAUAAUUGUUCCUGGAAAAGAAGCUGGUGACGAAUCAUUGAUAUGAUGGAACUAGUAACUUGUGAAAAAUUCUAGGUUGCAUGCAUCCUGAUAAUCUCUAUGCCACCUUAGCUACUAUCAACAUGCAUCAUCUCCAGCUCUCUUGUUUCUAAAGCUGCAAUGGACCCAAGAAAGAGAAAAGGCAAUAUCAUGUUUCACUAUCCACAGAAAACAAAGAGAAUCAAAGAGAUCUUGCCUGUGGAUGAGGCCAGGUCCACCUCUCUUAGUGUUACUUCUGGCUUGAAAACGAAGAAAGAUGAGGCUAUUGUGACUCCAAACAGAAGAAUAUCCAAUGUAAUUAGUAGGCAUACAUUUCUUGGUCCCCCACUCGCCGCAACCAACAUCCAAAUGCUCAUUAUUAUACUGGAGAUUAUUGGCAUGAGGCAAGUCUGAAAAAAUUAUUGCAGAAUAACUUUUCAUCCUUGAAAGUCAAUAAACCAUUCCAAUGCUUGAAGAUUUUCAUCUGACAUUACUCACUAGGAAGCUCUUUACAAAUAAUGCGAAUCUAUGUCUAUUUGUUUAUGCUCUCAACAUUUUCCUGCUCCAUGAUACACAUUGAUGAACAUCUUCAAAAUAUAAGUUCAUAUGUCGAACAUACUUGUUCGGUCUUUUGCAGCUA